rnacentral:rRNA from 1 species
AAGCUCGUAGUUGAAUUUCGAGAUCAAUUUGUUGGUCGUGCCUCGGUACGUACUGGCAAUUUUGAUUUCUCCCCUCUGAAGAACCAUGAUGUCAUUAAUUUGGUGUCAUGGGGAAUCAGGACCGUUACUUUGAAAAAAUUAGAGUGUUUAAAGCAGGCUCACGCUUGAAUACAUUAGCAUGGAAUAACGGAAUAGGACGUUUGAUUCUAUUUUGUUGGUUUCUAGGAUCGACGUAAUGAUUAAUAGGGAUAGUUGGGGGCAUUAGUAUUCAAUUGUCAGAGGUGAAAUUCUUGGAUUUAUUGAAGACUAACUACUGCGAAAGCAUUUGCCAAGGAUGUUUCCAUUAAUCAAGAACGAAAGUUAGGGGAUCGAAGACGAUCAGAUACCGUCGUAGUCUUAACCAUAAACUAUGCCGACUAGGGAUCGGAUGAUGUUAAUUUUUUAAUGACUCAUUCGGCACCU